rnacentral:rRNA from 1 species
GCCCAGAAUCUAGCCCUCCCCCCCCCAACUAAAUUUCCUUCCUAACCCCCCCCCCCCCCAAAAUAUUCUAUGACUUAAGUAAAGACGAUUGAAAACCUUACAGGAGCUAUACCAUGUACCGCAAGGGAAUGAUGAAAUAAAAUGAAAUAACAGCAAGCACAAAAAAGUAGAGGUUGUCACUCGUACCUUUUGCAUCAUGGUUUAACUAGUCUAAUCAAGCAAAAAGACUUUUAGUUUGACCCCCCGAAACUGAGUGAGCUACUCCAGGGCAGCUUAUUGAGCGAACCCGUCUCUGUUGCAAGAGAGUGGGAAGACCCUGAAGUAGAGGUGACAGACCUAGCGAACCCGGUGAUAGCUGGUUACUCAAGAAAAGAAUUUUAGUCCAACCUAAAGUAACUCAGUAAACUCAAAUAUAUCACUUUAGAGCAAUUCAAAUAAGGUACAGCCUAUUUGAAAAAGGAUACAACCUAUAAUGGCGGGUAACCUACGCAUACCGCAGCCAAGUGGGCCUAAGAGCAGCCACCUUAAAAAAGCGUCAAAGCUUAACUUCGCCCCCCCCCACCUAAUGCCCCCAUUAGCACGGAACCCCCACAACACUAUUGAGUACUUCUAUAUUCUUAUAGAAUUUUUUAUGUUAAAACUAGUAACAAGAAAACAUUUCUCUUACAAUGCGAGUGUAAGUCAGAACGGAUCACCCCACUGAUCACCACACACCCCCAAACAGCACCCCACCUAGAAAAUCCUGUUUUAUCAACUGUUAACCUAACACAAGAGCAUUUCAAGAAAGAUUAAAAGAAAAAGAAGGAACUCGGCAAACACUAAUCCCGCCUGUUUACCAAAAACAUCGCCUCUUGGCAAAAUAAGAGGUCUAGCCUGCCCAGUGACCCCAGUUUAACGGCCGCGGUACCCUGACCGUGCAAAGGUAGCGUAAUCACUUGUCUUUUAAAUAGAGACUAGUAUGAAAGGCAUCACGAGGAUCAAGCUGUCUCCUUUUUCCAACCAGUGAAACUAAUCUCCCCGUGAAGAAGCGGGAAUACCACUAUAAGACGAGAAGACCCUGUGGAGCUUAAGGCAAGAUAAUUACUGCUCUUUACAAAUCACCUUCCUGAAAACUACAUAUUACAGCACCUUAAUUAUUUAACCUUUAGUUGGGGCGACUGCGGAGUAAAAUUAAACCUCCGCGUUAAACAAACCUCCCACAAAGAGUUACAACUCUGUGCAUCAACACAUUGACAACAAUUGACCCAAUUACUUGAGCAACGAAACAAGUUACCCCAGGGAUAACAGCGCAAUCCAUUUCAAGAGUUCUUAUCGACAAGUGGGUUUACGACCUCGAUGUUGGAUCAGGGUACCCCAGUGGUGCAGCCGCUACUAAAGGUUCGUUUGUUCAACGAUUAAAGCCCUACGUGAUCUGAGU